GACGAACGCUGGCGGCGUGCCUAAUACAUGCAAGUCGAACGCAUUUUCUUUCACCGUAGCUUGCUACACCGAAAGAAAAUGAGUGGCGAACGGGUGAGUAACACGUGGGUAACCUGCCCAUCAGCGGGGGAUAACACUUGGAAACAGGUGCUAAUACCGCAUAAUUCCAUUUACCGCAUGGUAAAUGGAUGAAAGGCGCUUUUGCGUCACUGAUGGAUGGACCCGCGGUGCAUUAGCUAGUUGGUGGGGUAACGGCCUACCAAGGCUGCGAUGCAUAGCCGACCUGAGAGGGUGAUCGGCCACACUGGGACUGAGACACGGCCCAGACUCCUACGGGAGGCAGCAGUAGGGAAUCUUCGGCAAUAGACGCAAGUCUGACCGAGCAACGCCGCGUGAGUGAAGAAGGUUUUCGGAUCGUAAAACUCUGUUGUUAGAGAAGAACAAGGAUGAGAGUGGAAAGUUCAUCCCUUGACGGUAUCUAACCAGAAAGCCACGGCUAACUACGUG
rnacentral:rRNA from 1 species